rnacentral:rRNA from 1 species
UACGUAGGGUGCAAGCGUUAUCCGGAAUUAUUGGGCGUAAAGAGCUCGUAGGCGGUUUGUCGCGUCUGCUGUGAAAACUCGAGGCUCAACCUCGAGACGUCGGCGGAAACCAUCUGGCUAGAGUCCGGAAGAGGAGAGUGGAAUUCCUGGUGUAGCGGUGAAAUGCGCAGAUAUCAGGAAGAACACCCGUGGCGAAGGCGGCUCUCUGGGACGGUACUGACGCUGAGACGCGAAAGCGUGGGGAGCGAACAGG